rnacentral:snRNA from 1 species
UGACUGAGCUAGGCCAUGG